CCCCACGGAAUAAGUCCUUUCUCCUGCCAGGAGAGGUAAUCUCAUCCAAUUUCAUGAGUCAUCUUCAAAUCACACCAACUUCACCCAACCACCUUACCUUCACAUCCACGUUUUUCUUUUGGACUUCACACCCAGAGCACCAUAUUUUUCCUCCUAGAAAGAAUAGUUGGAGAGCAUCUCAAAGACAUGACCCUGGCAAUUACAGUUCCUUCAGGCUGCAUGACCUCCUGAGGUAUAGUGGCUGGCUCUUUAGUGGGAAGGGCAAG